CUACGUGCCAGCAGCCGCGGUAAUACGGAAGGUCCGGGCGUUAUCCGGAAUUAUUGGGUUUAAAGGGAGCGCAGGCGGGAGUGUAAGUCAGCUGUUAAAUAUCAGGGCCCAACUCUGUUAUGCAGUUGAAACUAUAUUUCUUGAGUACGCACAGGGAUGGCGGAAUUCAGGGUGUAGCGGUGAAAUGCUUAGAUAUCCUGAAGAACUCCGAUCGCGAAGGCAGCCAUCCGGAGCGUAACUGACGCUGAGGCUCGAAGGUGCGGGUAUCAAACAGGAUUAGAUACCCUGGUAGUCCGCACAGUAAACGAUGGAUGCCCGUUGUUAGUUCACUUAUGAAUUAGCGACCAAGCGAAAGCAUUAAGCAUCCCACCUGGGGAGUACGCCGGCAACGGUGAAACUCAAAGGAAUUGACGGGGGCCCGCACAAGCGGAGGAACAUGUGGUUUAAUUCGAUGAUACGCGAGGAACCUUACCCGGGCUUGAA
rnacentral:rRNA from 1 species